UCAAGAUGAAUCCUUGGACAAAUUAGACUGGUUUUAUAAUUUUGGUUUAAAACAACUAUGUGGGUAUAAGAUAAUAGGAAGUUAUAGUGUCUGGAAAAAUUAGGUUAUUUACUGAUGAUGCAAAGCUCACUUAAACUUUACUAAAUUUCCUGGUCUGGUUUUAUGGGUCAGGUAAGUUAUUUUUCUUGAACUCUUUUUUUUUUGAGUAGUCUUCACACCCAGCAGGGGCCUCACAUGGGACUUGAACUCACGACCCUGAGAUCAUGACCUGAGCUGAAAUCAAGAGUCAGACGCUUAACCGACUGAAGUACCCAGGAGCCCCAGGCUGUUUAUAUACAGAAGUCGUGCUGUUACCGUUGCUGUGUUUGAGCAGCUUUGCCGGUUUCUGUUGAAGCGAAGGACUGGCGUAGUCUUGUCCACAGACGAGCUUCAUUUCUGUUUCCGCGCUCUUGCUGGGCAGUCAGGACACCACGGGGCCAACUAAAAGCGCCUGGUAGUUUUUAGUGUCCUCCCAGCCCGUUAAGUGUUGUAAUGCUCAGAGU